rnacentral:rRNA from 1 species
CAGUCGCCGCGGGAAUACGAAGGGUGCAAGCGUUGCUCGGAAUUACUGGGCGUAAAGCGUGCGUAGGUGGUGGUUUAAGUCCGUUGUGAAAGCCCUGGGCUCAACCUGGGAAUUGCAGUGGACACUGGGUCACUAGAAUGUGGUAGAGGAUAGUGGAAUUUCCGGUGUAGCAGUGAAAUGCGUAGAGAUCGGAAGGAACAUCUGUGGCGAAGGCGACUAUCUGGGCCAACACUGACACUGAGGCGCGAAAGCGUGGGGAGCAAACAGGAUUAGAUACCCCCGUAGUCCCUGUCUCUUAUAC